UGUUUUAGUCUAGUUAGAGGAACCUGUUUUAUAAACGAUAUAACACGCAUUAUUUUACUUAUUUUAGUUAAUCAGCUUGUAUACCGUCAUUAUAAGAUAAUUUAGGAGAAAAUAUUAUUGGAAUCAUAUUAUUGAGUAUAUUAGAUCAAGGUGCAGCUUAUAAAUAAGUAAAUAUGGGUUACAAUAAAAUUUGUUUAAUAUGAAUUAAGUAUUUAAAUAUAUUUAUGAAGGAGGAUUUAAUUGUAAGAAAAGGAGUAGUGAGAUUUUUUGAUAUAAGCUCUAAAUUAU
rnacentral:rRNA from 1 species